GACGAACUGCCCAAACGUUGUUCGGAAUCACUGGGCUUAAAGGGCGCGUAGGCGGCGAUACAAGUCAGGGGUGAAAUCCGGCAGCUCAACUGUCGAAGUGCCUUUGAUACUGAAUCGCUCGAGGGAGGUAGGGGUCUGUGGAACUUCUGGUGGAGCGGUGAAAUGCGUAGAUAUCGUAAGGAAGACCAGUGGCGAAGGCGGGUCUCUGGACAGUUCCUGACGCUGAGGCACGAAGGCCAGGGGAGCAAACGGG
rnacentral:rRNA from 1 species